AGAGUUUGAUCCUGGCUCAGAACGAACGCUGGCGGCGUGCUUAACACAUGCAAGUCGAGUGCGCGCCUGUAGCAAUACAGGUGGCGCACGGCGCACGGGUGCGUAACACGUGGGUAACCUGCCCUUUGGUGGGGAAUAACUCCGCGAAAGCGGAGCUAAUUCCGCAUAAGAUCCGCAAGGAUGAAAGCCGAAAGGCGCCGAUGGAGGGGCCCGCGCCCGAUUAGCUAGUUGGUAGGGUAAUGGCCUACCAAGGCUUUGAUCGGUAGCUGGUCUGAGAGGAUGGCCAGCCACACUGGAACUGAGACACGGUCCAGACUCCUACGGGAGGCAGCAGUGGGGAAUCUUGCACAAUGGGCGAAAGCCUGAUGCAGCGACGCCGCGUGGGGGAUGAAGCAUUUCGGUGUGUAAACCCCUUUCGAUCCGGACGAAUACCUCGCAAGAGGGGUGACGGUACGGAUAUAAGAAGCCCCGGCUAACUACGUGCCAGCAGCCGCGGUAAGACGUAGGGGGCCAGCGUUGUUCGGAAUUACUGGGUGUAAAGGGUCAGUAGGCGGUGUGGCAAGUUGGGAGUGAAAUCUCUGGGCUCAACCCAGAGGCUGCUUCCAAAACUGCUGUGCUUGAGUGUGAGAGAGGCGCGUGGAAUUGCAGGUGUAGCGGUGAAAUGCGUAGAUAUCUGCAGGAACACCCGUGGCGAAAGCGGCGCGCUGGAUCACAACUGACGCUGAAUGACGAAAGCUAGGGGAGCAAACAGGAUUAGAUACCCUAGUAGUCC
rnacentral:rRNA from 1 species